rnacentral:tRNA from 1 species
GGUCCCAUCGUCUAGUGGUUAGGACACCAGGUUUUCAUCCUGGUAACAGGGGUUCAAUUCCCCUUGGGACUA